AGACGUCCCAGAGCCCUGACUCUGCUGCCAGCUUGCUUUACAGUGAGGCCAAGGAAGGAGCCACGGAGGGUGUGCUGGCCCUAGGAGCAGGAUUCCUGUGUGUUCACUAAGCUUGCAGCAUCAAGAAGCCACCAGCCAGCAUGGACAUGUGAGCGUCAGAGGGAGGGAAAACAAAACACUCAUGGGAAGAAGCGGGACCAGGCUCCAGCCGCAAAGUCGCCCUUCAUGCUUCACGCAAGAAAAAGGCCUCAGAGGGAGCUGUGAGGACAUGAUCAAAUCACUGUGCCAGCUGGUCACCAGGGGGCCACCACUCCAAGGAACCCUGAAGAUGGUGGACAGGAAUUAGGAAGUGUUGAACCGUCUUAGAUGGAAUGCUGUUCAUAUGAAAGCAAGACGCUCUAUCCUAGAAUUGCUUUUAUCAUUUGGUUCUAUUGCCACUUUUCGAAAAUUGUGUGACGUGAAGCAUGCAGAAAUAAAAAGAAGUAACACA